rnacentral:rRNA from 1 species
CAGCAGCCGCGGUAAUACGGAGGGUGCAAGCGUUAAUCGGAAUUACUGGGCGUAAAGCGUGCGUAGGCGGUUCGUUAAGUCUGUUGUGAAAGCCCCGGGCUCAACCUGGGAAUGGCAAUGGAUACUGGCGAGCUAGAGUGUGUCAGAGGAUGGUGGAAUUCCCGGUGUAGCGGUGAAAUGCGUAGAGAUCGGAAGGAACACCUGUGGCGAAAGCGGCUCACUGGACAAUAACUGACGCUGAUGCACGAAAGCUAGGGGAGCAAACAGGAUUAGAUACCCCCGUAGUCCCUGUCUCUUAUAA